CCUACGGGACGCAGCAGUAGGGAAUCUUCCACAAUGGACGAAAGUCUGAUGGAGCAACGCCGCGUGAAGGAAGAAGUAAUUCGUUAUGUAAACUUCUAUCAACGGGGAAGAAAGAGAUGACGGUACCCGAGUAAGAAGCCCCGGCUAAUUACGUGCCAGCAGCCGCGGUAAUACGUAAGGGGCGAGCGUUAUCCGGAGUUACUGGGUGUAAAGGGUGAGUAGGCGGCUGGGCAAGUCAUAUGUGAAAUACCGGGGCUCAACUUCGGGGCUGCAUAAGAAACUGUCCAGCUAGAGUGCAGGAGAGG
rnacentral:rRNA from 1 species